rnacentral:sRNA from 1 species
UAUAUACCUCGGCCUAGUCCCGUCAGCGGGAACGGAGGAACCAAUUUUUUGGGGCUAAUUCUACAGUUUAAGUAGAAAGGAUGAGAGCAACUCUUUCGCCAUCCUGCCCGUCAGCUAACUUCGUCGGCUAAAGCGAAGGAGGUC